GAUGAACGCUAGCGGCAGGCUUAACACAUGCAAGUCGAGGGGCAGCAUGAGACGGAGAUUCGUCAAAGUCUUGAUGGCGACCGGCGCAAGGGUGCGUAACGCGUGAGCAACUUGCCCGUUUCUGGGGAAUAACCGGUGGAAACGCCGACUAAUACUCCAUAGUAUAAUGAAGAGGCAUCUUUUUGUUAUUAAAGAAUUUCGGAAACGUAUAGGCUCGCGUGACAUUAGCUAGAUGGCGGGGUAACGGCCCACCAUGGCGACGAUGUCUAGGGGUUCUGAGAGGAAGGUCCCCCACACUGGAACUGAGACACGGUCCAGACUCCUACGGGAGGCAGCAGUGAGGAAUAUUGGUCAAUGGUCUGACGACUGAACCAGCCAUGCCGCGUGAAGGUGACGGCCCUAUGGGUCUUAAACUUCUUUUGUAAGGGAGCAAUAAGGUCUACGUGUAGAUUGAUGAGAGUACCUUACGAAUAAGCAUCGGCUAACUCCGUGCCAGCAGCCGCAGUAACAC
rnacentral:rRNA from 1 species